rnacentral:tRNA from 1 species
AUUUAUAUAGUUUAAUUAAAACAUUACAUUUUCAUUGUAAAAUUGAAAUAUUUUUUCCAUAAAUU